rnacentral:pre_miRNA from 1 species
GGGGGGAGGCCAGAUCCUGGGCUGUGUCCCGGGUGCCCUGUGCUCCUGGGCCUGCGCGGUUGGAUUCGCGCUCCCGGCCCGCAGCCCCCU